GAUGAACGCUGGCGGCGUGCCUAAUACAUGCAAGUCGAGCGAACAGACGAGGAGCUUGCUCCUCUGACGUUAGCGGCGGACGGGUGAGUAACACGUGGAUAACCUACCUAUAAGACUGGGAUAACUUCGGGAAACCGGAGCUAAUACCGGAUAAUAUAUUGAACCGCAUGGUUCAAUAGUGAAAGACGGUUUUGCUGUCACUUAUAGAUGGAUCCGCGCCGCAUUAGCUAGUUGGUAAGGUAACGGCUUACCAAGGCAACGAUGCGUAGCCGACCUGAGAGGGUGAUCGGCCACACUGGAACUGAGACCCGGUCCAGACUCCUACGGGAGGCAGCAGUAGGGAAUCGUCCGCAAUGGGCGAAAGCCUGACGGAGCAACGCCGCGUGAGUGAUGAAGGUCUUCGGAUCGUAAAACUCUGUUAUUAGGGAAGAACAAAUGUGUAAGUAACUAUGCACGUCUUGACGGUACCUAAUCAGAAAGCCACGGCUAACUACGUG
rnacentral:rRNA from 1 species